AUCGCUGACGAGUGAUACCGUAGAAGUUUAAGUGGUUUCAUAACUACGGAUA
rnacentral:sRNA from 18 species